AUACGGAGGAUCCGAGCGUUAUCCGGAUUUAUUGGGUUUAAAGGGUGCGCAGGCGGCCAUUUAAGUCAGCGGUUAAAUCGUGGGGCUCCACCCCAUUCUGCCGUUGAUACUGGGUGGCUUGAUUGCGGCCGAGGUUGGCGGAAUUCGUUGUGUAGCGGUGAAAUGCAUAGAUAUGACGAAGAACACCGAUUGCGUAGGCAGCUGACCAGACCGCAAAUGACGCUCAUGCACGAAAGUGCGGGGAUCGAACAGGAUUAGAUACCCUGGUAGUCCGCACAGUAAACGAUGAAUACUUGUUUUCGGCGAUAUAAUGUCGGAGGCAAAGCGAAAGCGAUAAGUAUUCCACCUGGGGAGUACGCCGGCAACGGUGAAACUCAAAUGAAUUGACGGGG
rnacentral:rRNA from 1 species